AGUUUUAUAUUUCUUAUUCAAGUUUCAAUUUUCUUUUGUUUAAGAAAAAUAUUUUCAUAUUUCUUACUCAAAAAUAUUAUGCUCAUGAUAGAUCAUUCAUGUUUAAAUUCAUGAUUAAGUUCAUGUGGUAGAUUGCUUGUUGGUCGGCUAUGAGAAAGCUCAAGUAUAAGAAUAAGUGAAGAUACUAGUAUUAGUUUGUGCAAGAUCAAGAUUUGCAGGUGAAUUUUGGAUGUGCAUGGGAGCAUACUAGGAAGGGGAUCUUCACCUAGAUUAGAGUGUUUCAUUUAUUUUGAGUAUUGAGACAAUAUUUACUUUUAUUAAUAAAGAAGUAUUAUUAUUUUUGGUUAAA